CUUGUACGAGGAUACGGGAAUCGAGCUGCCUCCGUGGAUCACCUUUCCAGACACAGAGCGAGCAGAAUGGGUAAACGAGGUCAUCAAACAGCUGUGGCCAAGAAUCGGAGAAUAUGCCAAGGAUUAUUGCAAACAUAUUUUGCAACCAGACUUAGCGAGCAGAAUGAAACCUAUAAGCUUCGAAUUUAGCAAAAUACAUCUCGGCGACGUCGCCCUUAUGG